rnacentral:rRNA from 1 species
UACAGAGGGGGCAAGCGUUGUUCGGAAUCACUGGGCGUAAAGCGCACGUAGGCGGCUUUCUAAGUCAGGGGUGAAAUCCUGGAGCUCAACUCCAGAACUGCCUUUGAUACUGGGAAGCUUGAGUCCGGAAGAGGUGAGUGGAACUGCGAGUGUAGAGGUGAAAUUCGUAGAUAUUCGCAAGAACACCAGUGGCGAAGGCGGCUCACUGGUCCGGUACUGACGCUGAGGUGCGAAAGCGUGGGGAGCAAACAGG